rnacentral:rRNA from 1 species
UGGCGGCAGGCCUAACACAUGCAAGUCGAGCGGUAACAUUUCUAGCUUGCUAGAAGAUGACGAGCGGCGGACGGGUGAGUAAUGCUUGGGAACAUGCCUUGAGGUGGGGGACAACAGUUGGAAACGACUGCUAAUACCGCAUAAUGUCUACGGACCAAAGGGGGCUUCGGCUCUCGCCUUUAGAUUGGCCCAAGUGGGAUUAGCUAGUUGGUGAGGUAAUGGCUCACCAAGGCGACGAUCCCUAGCUGGUUUGAGAGGAUGAUCAGCCACACUGGGACUGAGACACGGCCCAGACUCCUACGGGAGGCAGCAGUGGGGAAUAUUGCACAAUGGGCGCAAGCCUGAUGCAGCCAUGCCGCGUGUGUGAAGAAGGCCUUACGGGUUGUAAAGCACUUUCCAGUCAGGAGGAAAGGUUAGUAGUUAAUACCUGCUAGCUGUGACGUUACUGACAGAAGAAGC